rnacentral:lncRNA from 1 species
UUUAUUUUCGUCGGUAUCAAUUUUCGUGGAUUGAUGAGAACUUGCAUCUUCGAGAUUUUGCAUACAAAGUCUAUUGAAAAUAUGUUAUUCGCUGAAUAUUUGAAUUCGUGGUUCACUUGUACUCAAUAAACUCAGGAAAAUUGGUAUCCAUCGAAUAAUAAUGAAUCCACAGUAAGAAUGAAUAAACUCAUCAUAUAUACCAAG